GUUAGCUCGGAACACAAAGUAAGGAAUGGCUGCUCUGGGGUGCUAAAGCUAGCCCAAGAUAAGAACCAGAGGAAAAGCUGCCAUCCCAUGUCCUCUGCUACAGGAUUUUCUGUCGAGUGAAAGAUCCUGGAUACAUCCCAAGUCAGCUAUGCCUUAGGUACCCAGGUAACAUCUUUCCUGUUACGAUUGAUUUGAAUAUGAAGUCUCCCCUCAGAAGGUUCAUGCAUUGAAGAACUGCUGGCCAGCUGGUGGAUUCAACCACUGAGAAAUGGUUAGACUCUGCAGGAUCCAAUCAGCUCAGUGGAUUGUUCCACUUGAUGAAGCUACACCUUGAUGGCAGCGGGAGACAAUGUUAGGAGGCGGGGUCUGCCUGGAGGGGACACACCCAGGGACACACCUUGCACACACACACCCUCUCUCCUUCCUAGAUGCCUUGAGGUGAGCAACUUUGCUCUGAAAGGAACUGUGACUUUCAUCAGGGUGUUCUUUUUCACUUUGAGCCUGAGACAAUGUAGCCCUCUGACCAUGCGCUGCACCUUUGGAAGCUGUUUCUGUUCAGCGAUUCCUUGGUUAUCGGCUAGUGAUGAAGUAUGUCACCAAUGUCUUCUCUGGAUGCUGGAGCCCUUGUGGCACCAUGGGUUCCAUGGCUACACUAAGAUACUUUAUUCAUCAGCAUUGCUAGAGUACAGUCCUGGGUUUAUUCAAUUAAAGGUCAGUCUAGGGGUUUUCUGGGGAAGUGGUUUGUAGACAUAAUUAUUUACAAUGGCUGGUUAACCUAGAUGGGACAGUUGGGCCACACCCAGUUGGUUUUGAGGGUCAUAGGAAUGAAAGUUAGGGAUCUUGAAGGAAGAAUAAAUUUGGCCACAUC
rnacentral:lncRNA from 1 species